CUAUUUCAUCCUAACACAAUCUGUGCCCUACCUCAUCUAUCUGUCUCCUUCUCUCUCACUUCUCCACCACGACCACAACAUCAACUUUGCCUCUUCCGCAGCAACUUUGCCUCUUCAUUUUCGUCGACACCCACUCUCCUCACCGCCGUCGCUGCUCCUCCCUCCUUAGCAAACCUUCGUCUGCAUCUCUGACUCGUCUGCAAGUGGUGACUCCAUUUGCAAAGCACUGAGCGGCGUAAGCUCGCCGCCCGUGCCGGACCCCACAUGCUUCGCAAUAUGGCCGCUCGCUUCACUCGCCUCCAUGAGCUCGAUCUCUCUCAGUCAAUCUCCAGGUCCUUCUACCCUAGCGUCAUCAACUCUGAUCUCUCUGUCAUCGCUAAUUCAUUCACUUGCUUUGGAGUCCUUAGCCUUCAGAAUUGUAAAAAAUUGCAAAAGUAAAAAGUACCCAUGGCCGGUCUCGUUGGCGUCUUGCGUCAGCUCGGCGACCUAGCUAAGUGAGUCUUCCUCUUUCUUCUUCUCUCUUCGACUUUGAGUUGUGUUUGAGUUUUGAAUUUGGAUUAAUUGUUGUGCAAUUAAGUCCUCAAUUUGUGUUUCUUUGCUAAUUAUUGUACAAUUUCGAUGAACAAACGUUUGUGAAUUGGGAAUUUUGGGUCUAAGAUCUGUUGGAAUCGGAAUUUUCUGGGUUUGUGGUUAUAUUGAAGAUUUAACACGAGAGAAUGAAAGUUUAAAUUGAUUGUUAUUUUGGGUAAACAUACAUACCGAGUCUCAGUUUCCAGAAGGCCCUUUGGUUGUGCCUCUUGACUGUGAAUGGAUCAGGCAUUGUCAUAGGCUCAAUCCGGUAUGUUUUUGUUUCUUCAGUGUUUUUCAUAUUGUACUACUGAACUAAGUCCCACAUUUGAUUCAAAGAUAACAGCAGGAUAGGAUUAAAUAAUCUCAUAAUGAAAUCUUUUACCAAUGUUUGUUUUUAAAUUUGCUAGCAUUUGGGUGCAGAAUGCGAUGCGACAGUUUGAUGAAUGAAGAAGAUUAGUUAAAUUGAAGGAAAGAUUUUUCUUUUUGUUUGUUUGGUAUUUAAGAAAAGAUUUUGUGUGUGAAGUUUGGCAGUUAAGUGAGGGUGUUGAAAGAUGGAUCAAUGAUCUCCACUUUUAACGCCCUGUGCAGUCUCUUUUUUUCAUUCUCCUUCAGUUAAAUUUCUUCCAGAGGUUUUAUUUUAUUUUUUUGGUCUGCCUCCUGAAUUGUGGACUGAAAGGCGCUAUUCCUUUUUUUUUUUCCCCACUUUUAGAGGUAGUUAUAGAAUACUCUCAAAGCACUCAUGUGGUAUUAACAAUUAUACACCUUAUAGAUAGUCAAACAUUAAAAUGCACUAACAAUUAUAUUUGUGCAUCAUUUUUAUUUUUCUUUCUAUAAGAAGCAAAAGGAAAUUUUUUUUUUUUUUGGGUUGCCAUUCAUACAAAUUAUUAAUAUAGAGUGAAAUAGUUUGGGAAUGAAAUGAACAGGGGAUAAACAUGGAAGGACAUGUGUUUUUGUUGGCAUUCAUACAAAUUAUAAAUAUAAAGUUAAAAGAGAGUUUGGCAAUGGGAAUGAAAGUGGGGGAGAAACAUUGACCUUUGUAAGGUCUUUGAUUAGUUAAUUUGUGUUCUUUUGAUUCCUAAUUUGAUAAAUUACAAUUAUUGAAGAACUUCCUUUGUAUUGUUAUUUUUUUUAAAAAUUCUUUGCUGUUUUCUUUUAUUUUUCCCCUCCCUUCCCCUUCUAGAUGGUUCCACAAAAUUCAUAUGUUGGUAUAUAUUCACAUACUAUACAUUUAUAAAAGAAUGUGUGAAGCCACCUUAUAUACUACUUACCAGUGCCUAACUUUUGUUUUGUACUAUGCCUUGUUACUUAUGUCUCUACUGUGUCAACUUUUCCCCUUCCUCUUGUACCUUACCAAGAAGGGGAAAAAAUCUAGAAAGAAGAGAAAAUUGUUUUGUACUAUGCCUUUUUACUCAUGCCUUGUGUUUGUCUUUGUUUAUAUGUUUAGAAGAGAGAAUUAUUUCUAGAUUUGGCUCCACUUUUGUCAAACUCUUUUGGUACUAUCAUUGCACUCUUGCAGGUAUGCUUUAUAUUGUUCAUAAUAAUAUUUUGUAAUCAAUUUUUUGCCCCACAGUCGAUGUUUGCUGCAGUGUUUUUCAUUAAUCACUGGCUAAUCUGCUUGUCAAAGAGCCUACCUUAAUUUUCUUUUCCAUUCAUAAUUUAUUUUACUAGAAAAUGCUGUUCAUUUUAACUUUUCUUUUGUCUAUCAGACAUAGACUAUGUUCCUUUAUAGAGCAUAGCAAACAAGGGGUAUAUGUUCCACUCUGUCUUGUGGCAGCAAAUCGACGGUUCAUGCUAUCGCGACAUUGAUUAUACUGGUGACCUGUGCAUUUAUUGUUUAUAUAUCUACUGCUGUGCACACGUUUUUGCAUUGAUAAUGCAAAUUCUAAGUUCUACUUGUGUUUUACUUGAUUAUAAGAUAUGACUAAGAGAUUGAAGUAGUAUGUGAACUUGGUAGUGUUGAUUUGGUGAAAAUUGAUGGUCUGAUUCCUGUAAAAAAAAUUAUUUUUGGGGGCUAAUUAUGAUGAUUUGGUAAGUAUUUACUGUUGUAAAUUAUGCUUAUUUGGACAUUUUAAUUUAAAAUCAGAUGAAUUAUUGAGCUAACAGAAUUAAGUUGAAACAUGUCUAACUUGGAUGCACUAUAUGUACUUUGUUAUGCAUUUUUUUUAAGUUGUGAAAAUUGUUAAAUCAUAUUUUGUUAUAAUCAAUCAUUGAAUUUUAAAAGGAAAACAAAAUCUUACAGAACAUGAUGUCGUUUUGUUAGAGAAUGCACUGAAGUAAUGGAAAAGAAACAUUGACUUGACUUCAAACUGCUCUUUUCAUAGAUGACAACACACCACACAAUGACAAGAGAAUCCAUGCCGAUGCCCCCACAAUAUCUUGGUCCUCUUGGUUUCUCUUUGUAGCAGAUAGGCAAGUUGACACUCUAUUUUGUCGAAAAAAAUUUGCUUGGAAAAAGUUACUUUUUACCGUGAAGAUAAUUUCUUUUAGCAAUCCCCUCAAAGCUAAUUAAAGAGACAUAAUAAUUUUUUUCUUCAAGGUGCAAGGAAAUUUACUUGUAUAAAUGAAUGGAGUAGUGUUGUUAAUUAUGGCUUCAUUUUUGUAGGCUUCUUCAGAGAUUAUGGUGUAGAUGGUUCUUGGAAGGUUGAAAACUUAUGGAGUUGGGUUGGUUUUGUCGCGUGUUAGGGUGAUAUUUCUUUGAUAACCAGCACAUCUAAUUUGUGCUUUUCAACUUUGCUUGGAUUGCUUUUCAAUAGAAUGCUAUUUACAUACAUAUUGACUGUCUUAAUCUUGUUUUGCUGAUGGGAGGAAAGAAAAAGUGAACUUUGGUGAUAUCAUCUCUUGCUUCAUAUUGCAUUUUAGACUCCAUUGACAACUUGAUUUUGUGUAAAAUAUUUUUUGUGCCUAAAGAAGCUGUUAAGCUUUCCCGUUAACUUGUUUGCACUGCUCUCAAGAAGUUUUUGAUUUUGUCUUUGCAGCCUUAUUCUAGUUUAAUCUUGUUUAUGAUUAAUUGUAUGUUACUUUAUUAAAACUGAAGUUCUUUUAUUGCUAUAUAUAUUUAUGAAUAGAAUGAGAUUUUUUAUUUUUAUUUUUAUUUUUAAGAUGCUAUCUUUAGAAACACCUAACCCUUGUGGGGGCAUAUAAUCUGUUAGUACACUUCUCCAUAUCUAAUUUUCUAGCAGCUCACAUGUCUCUUAUCCCUUGUACAAUCUUGUUGACAUCAAUUAAGAACAUAUCUAUUUAGCUAUACAGAGAAAAGAUAGAAACACAAGAUCACAGAAACAUGAUGUGCACAACAUCAAACUAGUUAGACCUUUUCUUCAAGAAAUGUGUCUAUUUUUAUAGAAUGAAUGUCUUUGGAGAUAUUUGAAAGGGCAGGUACAAUCUCAACCAAAUUCAUAGACACACAUAUCUCACCUCCUCUGUCUUGCUAUCCCAAAAUAUUCAUAGCAAUUAGAUCAUGUCUCUAGGUUAUCAAAUGAUCAAACGGUUGGGAUUGUUUUGAGGCAGAACAACAAAGGGGUUCUUUGUCCAUCAAGCAAUGAUGUAUUUGUCUAUCAAUAUGAUAUGUGUGAAAAGGACUACAAUUCAAGCAAUGAUGUAUUUGUCUAUCAAUAUGUAGGAAACAAUAGAAAGAACCACAUGAAGAAGAUACAUCAACUUGUGGUUGUGCACUAGGUCAAACUUGUUGGAUCCUUCUUCAACAAUGGUCUCCAAUUUAGGAACAUUGGAUGAAGGUUUUUGGGGAGAGAUGAGAGGAGAUGGGCAGCCUUCUUGUGUUGAGUUGGGUGAAGUAGUGAAGGUUAGUGUGGCUUUAUGGGGUAAGCUAACUCAUUUUUGGGUGAAGUAGUGAAGGUUAGGGUGGCUGUGUGACCUCAUUAAAGUGAGAUUGGCUAUUUGGUAUCCUUGUGUGUGAUGCAGAGCAGCCACAACAGCCAGUCACAGCCACAGCCAUAGCCACAGCCACAGCCACAGCAGUCAAGGUAGUGAAAACUAGCCAGCUGCAGCCAAGGCCACAGUGAUAAGGCAGAACAGCCAGUUGCAGCCAAGGCCAUAGUCCAGCAACCAAGGCCACACCUCAGCAGCUAGUAGCCACAGCCACAGCCAAGGCUGCAGCUCAGAACAGACACAGCUGCUAAUGCUACAGUAGCUGCAGCAUCAGCUGCAGCCCUCUCAUCAGCUGAAGUCUCUCUCUCAUUUCAAGCACGUGUGAAUUGCAAAGCAAGUUGCAAAUUAGCUGUUAGUUUGUUAAAGGUUAACUAUAUGGUUUAGUUAGACAAUUAUAGUCAAAUUAGGUAGUUAUGGUUAUGGUUCAUUGUUUUUCCCCCAAGAAUUUCAGCUUCUUCUUUUUUCUGUUGACAAAUUCGCAGCUGUGGUUCUCUCUCUUUGCCCUAUAAAUUGCAAUUUAUAUAUUAUGUCAUAUUAUAUAUAUAUAUAUAUUCUGGAUAUUGAACAGUCACUUUAUAUCAUUCAUGGCAGCAAAACCAUUUGAGAGCAAAUUUAUCACAUUGUGAGAAGUCCAUGAUUUAGAUGGCUGGACUAAGUAUGCUUCCCAGGUUUAGUAAUGGCAAUUAUGGUGGCAUUUUACCUUGGUCCUUUGGGCUUGAAGGAAGGCCUGAGUUUUGCGUGAGAUUUAGGUAUUCAGGUGUUUAUGCUUUAGGUUGGAACAAAUGCUCUAGGUGUAUCUUAGAUCUUGAAAAUGGAUCCUCAGGAAUUUGGUGAAAUAAAGCAUUGCUCAAUAUAUGUACUCUGCCUAAUUAUAAGGUUGUUUAAUUAUCAUAUAAACUCAUAUGAUUGGAUGAUUCGGCCAAAGUCAGAGGCUAUUUGUAAAUGUUGCCCUGAAAUGUUUCACAAAAUAAAACACAAUGGGUCAUUGUUGCCUUGAACUACAUUUAAGAGGCUAUUAAUGAGUUCAAGAUAAUAAUGAACUUUUACUAAUUGGAACAAGUCUUUUAUUCCUGCAUCUCAGAUUAGCUGGAAUUAUUAAUUAUGAUUGCAUAUAUCUCCAUACUCAAACAUUUCAUAUAUUUACAUCUUCUUAAUUGUUAUUAUUCCUUUGAUAGGUUGAAAUUCCCUAAUGAUGACUGCAUGUUCUUGCAUUUGCAUAUACAUUUGUCUCCUAUAUUAUUGUCAUACCCGUGAUAGGUUCAUUGAUUUUCUGCAAGUGAGGUUAAUACAUCCCUUUUGGAGUGGUGGAGCCACUAAUACUCUUAGGUCAUGUUUGAUUCACAAGACUAAUAGUGAAGUAUUAAUAAUCCUAUUAAAUUAGUGUAGUAUUCACUAUCCAAUUGAAUUAAUAUCCAUUGGAUUAAUAAUCCUACCCCUACCCCAUUACUAAUAAUCCUAUAAAUUUGUUGGAUUAAUUAUCCAUUGGAUUAAUAAUCCUAAACCAAAAUAUUAAAACAAACAUAGAAUAAUUGAGCCCACGGAUUAGUAAUCUCAAUCCCAUGCUCUAAUCCACCCAAUCAAACAUGCUCUUACAUAAUUGUGGCGGUCGGUUUUUGGAAACACUAGGAGGAUGUGGCUUGUAGAUUAUAAAUGGUAUGGAUGAAGCAACUAUGUUAUUUAUGAAUAUUGUUAGUUUUUUCAAGUGGCAUACUUUUUAGGGUUGAAUUAUUAGAGAAAAGGCAUAUAAUAUCAGGAAGUAGGCUAUAAGGUUCAAGAGUCAAUGGAAUUAGUAAUAGCUUGUGAUUGAAUUAGAUA